rnacentral:rRNA from 1 species
UACGUAGGGUGCAAGCGUUGUCCGGAAUUAUUGGGCGUAAAGAGCUUGUAGGCGGUUUGUCGCGUCUGCUGUGAAAAUCCGGGGCUCAACCCCGGACUUGCAGUGGGUACGGGCAGACUAGAGUGUGGUAGGGGAGACUGGAAUUCCUGGUGUAGCGGUGGAAUGCGCAGAUGUCAGGAGGAACACCGAUGGCGAAGGCAGGUCUCUGGGCCACUACUGACGCUGAGAAGCGAAAGCAUGGGGAGCGAACAGG